rnacentral:lncRNA from 1 species
GGUUAGCUUUCUUUUCAAGAAUGUAUUUCCAUACUUCUUUUGGGUUUCUAGAAAAGAAGGUACAUUUCCUGGAUUUGAGCUUUAGCCACAGAGAGUAUCUGGGACCAGAAACACAGGAUCUCUAUUAAAAGAACACGAAACGUCACUUCCACACGACCUGCAAUUUCUAGAAUGGAGAGAAAGCUUCAGUAAACAUUCAGUAAUAGCAUGCAACAAAG